GCUAAACUAAUUCAAACACAAUCACAGAACAUUGAAAAUUCAACAAAUAUCACAUAGAGAAAUUAAAAGGCAAGAAGACACGUGACAUUUCAUUUUUAGAAAAUAACAGAGUAACAGCAGCAAAAGGGUUAAGGAAUUUUUACAGUGAUUUUCCAACUCACGGUGGUGGUGGCUGAUUCCAGCGAGUGGCGGCAGCUCCAGCCCCAUUGACACGUUUUUGGAUGGAAUCUGAUUCCUUCUCAUUUUAGGCGAAACAUGGUAGGAGAUUCCUUAGCAGUUCCCUUGUUUUGUUUCCUAAUCAGAAUCAUCACUAACCAAAUACAAAAAAAAAAAAAAACUCUUUACUAAAGAAUUCUUUUCCUUUUCGUCACUGGUUUCCUAGAGCCAGACAGGCCCUACUGAACCCAACUUUCCCGUUAGCCUGGUGUUUUAUUGGCAUGACAGAGAAACCCUUGAAGACUCACCCAACCUAAUCUAGGAUUGUUAUGUCAAAGGGCGCCUCCACAGCAUCGAUCACAACCUAUUUGAGAAAAAGCCUCUAUGAACUCGAAGCCCAGAAAUUCUAAAGUUACCAGAGGAAGCUCUGAUGAAGAUAGAACCAGCAACUUGCCUGAAUCCAUCCUCUGCCACAUUCUCUCGUUCCUUCCCACAAAAUUUGCAGCUGCCACAUUCGUUCCGUCCACUAGGUGGAGGAAACUGUUCAAAAAAUGAGCUUAAAUCAAAGUGGUUUGGUGCAUUUUGUUCCCUUGCUACCUGGAAAGCAUCAUUGGAAGUUUGAUUUUGGGGGAUUUGAUCUGAUGGGUACUUUUUUGAUAAAGAAAAUGGAGUUGCUGGUGGUGGAAGUUACAUCGAUUAAUCUUAAUACCAUGAAAGAUGAACUUCUCAUGCAAACACUAAACCUGUUUUUCCCUUUUCCAGAGCAGCAAUCUAUUGCAUCUCCAAGACCGGGUAUCCUUACCAUUGAUUAAUCAAAUGCAACUUGUGUAAAGAGGUUGGCAUCUAUUGGACUUGAUAAUACAGAAGUCAACAGGCAGGCUUACAAACAACUUUUAUUGACCACUCCUGGCCUCAGUGAUUAUAUCUCUGGUGUCAUUCUCUUUGAGGAGACACUUUAUCAAUCAACCACUGAUGGCAAGAAAUUUGUGGAUUGAUCACGUGAUGAGAAUAUUAUACCUAGUAUCAAAGAUGACAAGGGUUUUGUCUCCCUUACCAGGAUCCAGCAAUGAAUCAUGGUGCCAAGGUUUAGAUGGAUUGGCUUCUAGAUCUGCCCAAUACUAUAAGCAGGGCGCGCGGUUUACAGCAGAAAGCCACCAAACAAUUGAAGACACUGUUGUCAUGUCUUCCUCCAAAACCCCCAUCAGCUGAGAAGAUCAUUGUAAGCCCAGCCAAGAAGCUUAAACAGCAAGAAGAAUGCAGAAUUUGGAUAUUGACAUGGAUAAAGAAGGAGACGAGCAAAAGGCAAAAAAGAAAAAAGUGGGAAUGUAAAGGAGACUUGUUAGAAAAUGAAAUGGGAGACUUGCCUUUGAGCUCUUGCCAAAAGGUGGAUCAAUGUAUGAAGAAACAUUGGAGACUUACAAAUUUCAUGAUUAGAUCUCUUUGAUGCUGGAGAAGUUGCUUCUUGUAUUGAAUUUCUCAGUUUUAGCUGACGUUAACCACAUUAAUUCUUCAUUCAUUUGUCAAUGAGCUGAAUCCAGAAUUAUGCACCUUUUGUUGUUCUGCAUCAGGGGCCUCUCCGUACUUUAUUAGUUGAGGCAAUCUGUCCUUACAGCGAAAUUCUGCGCACCAGUCCCUACUGCAGGAAGAUCUUCUCACGCAAUCUUCUGAAGAAGUGAUGUUGGAAAUGGUGGUCAACUGCUGUGGUUUUUAGAAAAAAUGCUACAAACUUUGUGAAUAAGUGUUAAAUCUCUUUUUGGUGUGGCCUUAUGUAUAUUACCUGACCUCGUUUCCUUCAUGUUCAAGUGUGGUGACAACUUCUACCUUAGCCUGAGAGAAACUUGUGACUCUUUCUUAUGUUGUAGUGUUACUUGUCAAAUACUUUACAUAGGAGAUAAUGCAGGCAACGAAGCUUCUGUUGUUACCUGUUCUGUAUUUCUUUGGAUAAUGUUUUUUCCUUGCAUAUAGUAAAGGAGCCUUAUUUUGACUUUAAA